AGAUUAAGUUAUUAAGGGCGCACGGUGGAUGCCUUGGCACUAGAAGCCGAAGAAGGACGUUACUAACGACGAUAUGCUUUGGGGAGCUGUAAGUAAGCUUUGAUCCAGAGAUUUCCGAAUGGGGAAACCCAGCAUGAGUUAUGUCAUGUUAUCCAUAUGUGAAUACAUAGCAUAUGAGAAGGCACACCCGGAGAACUGAAACAUCUAAGUACCCGGAGGAAGAGAAAGAAAAUUCGAUUCCCUUAGUAGCGGCGAGCGAAACGGGAAGAGCCCAAACCAGGGUGCUUGCACCCUGGGGUUGUAGGACACUCAGCACGGAGUUACAAAGGAAGACAUUAGACGAAUCAUCUGGAAAGAUGAAUCAAAGAAGGUAAUAAUCCUGUAGUCGAAAAUGUUGUCUCUCUUGAGUGGAUCCUGAGUACGACGGAGCACGUGAAAUUCCGUCGGAAUCUGGGAGGACCAUCUCCUAAGGCUAAAUACUCUCUAGUGACCGAUAGUGAACCAGUACCGUGAGGGAAAGGUGAAAAGCACCCCGGAAGGGGAGUGAAAUAGAACCUGAAACCGUGUGCUUACAAGUAGUCAGAGCCCGUUAAUGGGUGAUGGCGUGCCUUUUGUAGAAUGAACCGGCGAGUUACGAUCUGAUGCAAGGUUAAGCAGUAUAUGUGGAGCCGUAGCGAAAGCGAGUCUGAAUAGGGCGAAUGAGUAUCAGGUCGUAGACCCGAAACCAGGUGAUCUACCCAUGUCCAGGUUGAAGUUCAGGUAACACUGAAUGGAGGACCGAACCGACUUACGUUGAAAAGUGAGCGGAUGAGGUGUGGGUAGCGGAGAAAUUCCAAUCGAACCUGGAGAUAGCUGGUUCUCUCCGAAAUAGCUUUAGGGCUAGCCUCGCAUGAUGAUUACUGGAGGUAGAGCACUGUUUGGACUAGGGGCCCCCCUCGGGUUACCGAAUUCAGACAAACUCCGAAUGCCAGAUAAUCUAAUGCGGGAGUCAGACUGCGGGUGAUAAGGUCCGUAGUCGAGAGGGAAACAGCCCAGACCACCAGCUAAGGUCCCAAAAUAUAUGUUAAGUGGAAAAGGAUGUGGCGUUGCCCAGACAACUAGGAUGUUGGCUUAGAAGCAGCCAUCAUUUAAAGAGUGCGUAAUAGCUCACUAGUCGAGUGACGCUGCGCCGAAAAUGUACCGGGGCUAAACAUAUUACCGAAGCUGUGGAUUGUCCUUUGGACAAUGGUAGGAGAGCGUUCUAAGGGCGUUGAAGCAUGAUCGUAAGGACAUGUGGAGCGCUUAGAAGUGAGAAUGCCGGUGUGAGUAGCGAAAGACGGGUGAGAAUCCCGUCCACCGAUUGACUAAGGUUUCCAGAGGAAGG
rnacentral:rRNA from 1 species